rnacentral:rRNA from 1 species
GACGAACGCUGGCGGCGUGCCUAAUACAUGCAAGUAGAACGCACAGUUUAUACCGUAGCUUGCUACACCAUAGACUGUGAGUUGCGAACGGGUGAGUAACGCGUAGGUAACCUGCCUGGUAGCGGGGGAUAACUAUUGGAAACGAUAGCUAAUACCGCAUAAUAUUAAUUAUUGCAUGAUAAUUAAUUGAAAGGUGCAAUUGCACCACUACCAGAUGGACCUGCGUUGUAUUAGCUAGUAGGUGAGGUAACGGCUCACCUAGGCGACGAUACAUAGCCGACCGGAGAGGGUGAUCGGCCACACUGGGACUGAGACACGGCCCAUACGCCUACGGGAGGCAGCAGUAGGGAAUCGGCGGCAAUGGACGAAAGUCUGACCGAGCAACGCCGCGUGAGUGAAGAAGGUUUUCGGAUCGUAAAGCUCUGUUGUAAGAGAAGAACGGGUGUGAGAGUGGAAAGUUCACACUGUGACGGUAUCUUACCAGAAAGGGACGGCUAACUACGUG